rnacentral:rRNA from 1 species
AUUGAACGCUGGCGGCAGGCUUAACACAUGCAAGUCGAGCGGAGCGAGGGUGCUUGCACCUUAGCUUAGCGGCGGACGGGUGAGUAAUGCUUAGGAAUCUGCCUAUUAGUGGGGGACAACAUUCCGAAAGGAAUGCCAAUACCGAAUACGCCCUACGGGGGAAAGCAGGGGAUCUUCGGACCUUGCGCGAAUAGAUGAGCCUAAGUCGGAUUAGCUAGUUGGUGGGGUAAAGGCCUACCAAGGCGACGAUCUGUAGCUGGUCUGAGAGGAUGAUCCGCCACACUGGGACUGAGACACGGCCCAGACUCCUACGGGAGGCAGCAGUGGGGAAUAUUGGACAAUGGGCGGAAGCCUGAUCCAGCCAUGCCGCGUGUGUGAAGAAGGCCUUUUGGUUGUAAAGCACUUUAAGCGAGGAGGAGGCUACUUAGAUUAAUACUCUGGGAUAGUGGACGUUACUCGCAGAAUAAGCACCGGCUAACUCUGUGCCAGCCGCCGCGGUAAAAC